UACGUAGGGGGCUAGCGUUGUCCGGAAUCAUUGGGCGUAAAGAGCGUGUAGGCGGCCCGGUAAGUCCGCUGUGAAAGUCGCGGGCUCAACCCUCGAAUGCCGGUGGAUACUGUCGGGCUAGAGUGCGGAAGAGGCGAGUGGAAUUCCUGGUGUAGCGGUGAAAUGCGCAGAUAUCAGGAGGAACACCAAUUGCGAAGGCAGCUCGCUGGGACGUAACUGACGCUGAGACGCGAAAGCGUGGGGAGCGAACAGG
rnacentral:rRNA from 1 species